rnacentral:rRNA from 1 species
CCCUUAGAUGUCCUGGGCCGCACGCGUGCUACACUGACGCCUACAGCGAGUACUUCCCAGCCCCGAGAGGUGGCUGGUAAUCAGCAAUAGGCGUCGUGAUGGGGAUAGAUCUUUGGAAUUAUGGAUCUUGAACGAGGAAUGCCUAGUAAGCGCAGGUCAUUAGCCUGCGCUGAUUAAGUCCCUGCCCUUUGUACACACCGCCCGUCGCUCCUACCGAUUUCGAGUGGUCCGGUGAAUCUUUCGGACUGCGCGCGGCCUCGUGCCGUGUCGCGGAAAGUCAGGUAAACCUUAUCACUUAGAGGAAGGAGAANUCGUAGCA